UGGACUGUUCCUUCAGACUUCUUUUAGAGACAUGGUUGACCUACAUUCAGCCCUGGCGGUACAUUUACAGUAAGUCCCAGACAGGACGGAGGGACAGUGAUGUUGGAGACCAUAAAACAGUGGAGGAAAAAUGGUUUCCCUUUGUGGAGGG